rnacentral:tRNA from 1 species
AGUGGUAUCACUCAGUCGUAGAGCGCAUGCUUAGCAUGCACCAGGUCCUGGGUUCAACCCCCAGUACCUCCA